CCUACGGGAGGCAGCAGUGGGGAAUUUUCCGCAAUGGGCGAAAGCCUGACGGAGCAAGACCGCGUGAGGGAGGAAGGCCCUUGGGUUGUAAACCUCUUUUCUCAGGGAAGAAGAAAGUGACGGUACCUGAGGAAUCAGCCUCGGCUAACUCCGUGCCAGCAGCCGCGGUAAGACGGAGGAGGCAAGCGUUAUCCGGAAUUAUUGGGCGUAAAGCGUCCGUAGGUGGCUGCUCAAGUCUGCCGUCAAAGCACAGGGCUUAACUCUGUCAAGGCGGUGGAAACUGAGGAGCUAGAGAGAGGUAGGGGUAGAGGGAAUUCCCAGUGUAGCGGUGAAAUGCGUAGAGAUUGGGAAGAACACCGGUGGCGAAAGCGCUCUACUGGACCUCAUCUGACACUGAGGGACGAAAGCUAGGGGAGCGAAUGGGAUUAGAUACCCUUGUAGUCC
rnacentral:rRNA from 1 species